rnacentral:lncRNA from 1 species
UGUCAGCGCCGUGCCAUUUUGAGCUACAAGUGGAAUCUAAGGAUUCCGGUUUAGAGAGGUGAUAUUGAUGGUACCUUAUGUAUGCUUGCCAAAUUUGGGGUCAUUUGGAGUCCGUUUGGAUAGGGGCUUGACUUGGCCAAAGUCCAGUGGCAUUGUCGUAAUUUGCUGAUUGGUCCGAAGGCCAUAACUCAUUCUGUGUGUAUGGGAAUGGGGUGAAACUUCAUGGAGGUGUGAAGGAAGUCAAGAGAAAGGAGUAGGAACAAACGGCACCCAAUUUGAAGGUCGGAUGAAUGAUCUAAGCCCCAGUAUGAUUCUCGGGCAAAAUGAUGUCUAGUGGCAGACAUUGGGAUUAUUUAUUUUAAGCAUAUAUAAGGGGGGUAUGAAUGGUGACAGCCUACCAGCCUCCCCCGGGUGUGUCGACAGAUGGCCACCCCAAGUGUGCUGCCUUGAGGGACAACCUCAAGGGCCUGCCUUGGCAUGUCAAAGGAAUGCGCAAGGUACUCAUAGGGCUCGGGAACCCUAUGGGCAACGCAAGGUCGGGUGGACUAGCGUUGGG